AGAGUUUGAUCCUGGCUCAGGACGAACGCUGGCGGCAUGCCUAACACAUGCAAGUCGAACGAGAAAGUUCCUUCGGGAGCAAUUAAAGUGGCGCACGGGUGAGUAACGCGUAGACAAUCUGUCCUUCAGUCUGGGACAACUUUUCGAAAGGAGAGCUAAUACCGGAUAACAAUGCAUGACACAAGUUGUAUAUUUGAAAGCUUUAUGUGCUGAAGGAGGGGUCUGCGUCCCAUUAGCUAGUUGGUAAGGUAAAGGCUUACCAAGGCGACGAUGGGUAGCGGGUUUGAGAGGACGAUCCGCCACACUGGAACUGAGACACGGUCCAGACUCCUACGGGAGGCAGCAGUGGGGAAUAUUGCACAAUGGAGGCAACUCUGAUGCAGCAAUGUCGCGUGAGUGAAGAAGGCCCUUGGGUCGUAAAGCUCUUUUAUGGGGGAAGAUGAUGACGGUACCCCAGGAAUAAGCACCGGCUAACUAUGUGCCAGCAGCCGCGGUAAUACAUAGGGUGCGAGCGUUGUUCGGAAUUACUGGGCGUAAAGGGCGCGCAGGCGGAAUAGUAAGUCGGAGGUGAAAGCCCGGGGCUCAACCCCGGAGGGUCUUUCGAAACUGCUAAUCUAGAGAGGGUCAGGGGCCGGCAGAAUUCCUGGUGUAGAGGUGAAAUUCGUAGAUAUCAGGAGGAAUACCGGUGGCGAAGGCGGCCGGCUGGGGCCACUCUGACGCUGAGGCGCGAAAGCGUGGGGAGCAAACAGGAUUAGAUACCCUGGUAGUCCACGCCGUAAACGAUGAGCACUGGACGUCCGGAGGGUUCGACCCUUCUGGGUGUCUCAGCUAACGCAUUAAGUGCUCCGCCUGGGGAGUACGGUCGCAAGACUAAAACUCAAAGGAAUUGACGGGGGCCCGCACAAGCGGUGGAUUAUGUGGUUUAAUUCGAUGCAACGCGAAGAACCUUACCUGGACUUGACAUGUUAGUGAAACUUUGGUGAAAGCCAAAGCCUCUGCGAGCUUGCUCAAGGACACUAUCACAGGUGAUGCAUGGCUGUCGUCAGCUCGUGUCGUGAGAUGUUCGGUUAAGUCCGAUAACGAGCGCAACCCCUAUCCUUAGUUGCCAGCACGUAAUGGUGGGGACUCUAGGGAAACUGCCCGGGAUAACCGGAAGGAAGGUGGGGUCGACGUCAAGUCAGUAUGUCCCUUACGUUCAGGGCUACACACGUAAUACAAUGGGGAGUACAGAGGGUAGCAAUACUGCGAAGUGGAGCCAAUCCCAAAAAACUCCCCCAAGUUCGGAUUGCAGUCUGCAACUCGACUGCAUGAAGCAGGAAUCGCUAGUAAUCGCGGAUCAGCACGCCGCGGUGAAUACGUUCCCGGGCCUUGUACACACCGCCCGUCACACCAUGGGAGCCGACAAGGGCAGAAGUCGCCGAGCUAACCUUCGGGAAGCAGGCGCCCAAGCUGUUGUUGACGACUGGGGUGAAGUCGUAACAAGGUAACC
rnacentral:rRNA from 1 species